UACAGAGGUCCCCAAGCGUUGUUCGGAUUCACUGGGCGUAAAGCGUGCGCAGGCGGUUUUGUAAGACAGGCGUGAAAUCCCCGGGCUCAACCUGGGAACUGCGCUUGUGACUGCAAGGCUAGAGUACGGCAGAGGGGGGUGGAAUUCCACGUGUAGCAGUGAAAUGCGUAGAGAUGUGGAGGAACACCAAUGGCGAAGGCAGCCCCCUGGGUCGAUACUGACGCUCAUGCACGAAAGCGUGGGUAGCAAACAGGAUUAGAUACCCGAGUAGU
rnacentral:rRNA from 1 species